rnacentral:rRNA from 1 species
UCCGGUUGAUCGCGCCGGAGGAUACUGCUAUUCGAGUUCGACUAAGACAUGCGAGUCGAGAGUCUUCGGGACUCGACGAACUGCUCAGUAAUAUGUAGUCAAUCUAACCUAUACUCAGGGAUAAUCUCGGGAAACUGAGGCUAAUACCUGAUGGGUUUUCUGUUCUGGAGUGAUAGAAAAUCGAAAGGUUACAGUAUAGGAUGGGACUACAUCCUAUCAGCCUGUUGGAGGUGUAAUGAACUUCCAAAGCUAUAACGGGUACGGGCCAUGAGAGUGGAAGCCCGGAGAUGGAUUCUGAGACAUGAAUCCAGGUCCUACGGGACGCAGCAGUUACGAAAACUUCGCAAUGCUCUAACGAGUGACGAGGGGACUCGGAGUGUUCAUGCUUUGCAUGAACUUUUGUUCACUUCAAACAGGUGGACGAAUAAGAGGUGGGUAAUACGAGUGCCAGCCGCCGCGGUAAUACUCGAGCCUCGAGUGGUAUCCACUAUUAGUUGGUUUAAAGCGUCCGUAGCCGGUUUGGUAAGUUCCUAGUGAAAUCCUUUGGCAAACUAAAGGGCUUGCUGGAAAUACUACCAGACUUGGGACUGGGAGAGGGUAGAGGUACUCCCGGGGGAGGGGUAAAAUCCUAUAAUCCUGGGGGGACCACCUGUGGCGAAGGCUUCUAUCUAGAACAGGUUCGACGGUGAGGGACGAAACCUAGGGGAGCGAUCGGGAUUAGAUACCCCGGUAGUCCUAGGCGUAAACGAUGCCCGUUUGGUGUUACAAACCUUUCGAGGGUCUGUAGUGCCGGAGCGAAAGUGUUAAACGGGCCACCUGGGGAGUACGUCCGCAAGGAUGAAACUUAAGCGAGUUGGCGGGGGAGCACACAAGGGGUGGAGGCUGCGGUUCAAUUGGAUCCAACGCCGGACAUCUCACGGGAAUCGACAGCAGAAUGAAGGUCAGUCUAAAGGGCUUACCAGACAAGCUGAGAGGAGGUGCAUGGCCAUCGUCAGCUCGUACCGUGAGGCGUGCGGUUAAGUCCGUUAACGAGCGAGACCCGUAUCCUAUGUUGCAACCUGGCAACAGGGCACUCAUAGGAGACCGCUAGUGAUAAACUAGAGGAAGGCACGGGCGACGGUAGGUCCGUAUGCCCCGAAUUUUCCCGGCUACACGCGGCCUACAAUGCAUGAGACAAUGAGAUGCAACACCGAAAGGUGAAGCCAACCCCUUAACCUCAUGCUCAGUUCGGAUCGAGGGUUGUAACUCACCCUCGUGAAGCUGGAAUCCCUAGUAGGCAAAAGUCACUAUCUUUUGUCGAAUAUGUCCCCGCUCCUUGCACACACCGCCCGUCAAGCCAUCCGAGUGGAGUUUAAACGAGGCUCUUUCUCUAUGGAAGAGUCGAGUUUUGAUUCCGCGAGGGGGGCUAAGUCGCAACAAGGUA